AAUCUGGUGAAACUUUUGGGAUAUUGUUAUGAGGGAAAAGAGCUUUUACUUGUAUAUGAAUUCAUGCAACGAGGCAGCUUCAAGAACCACCUUUUCGGAAGGAGGUCAACUGUUCAGCCGCUUCCAUGGGAUAUACGGCUUAAGAUUGCAAUAGGAGCAGCUCGUGAGCUGUCGUUUUUGCACACUUCGGAUAAGAAAGUUAUUUAUAGAGACUUUAAGGAAUCAAACAUAUUGCUUGAUGGGUCGUAUAAUGCAUAGCUAUCGGAUUUUGGGCUGGCUAAAUUAGCAUCGGCUAGCCAAUCGCAUGUGACCACACGGGUGAUGGGUACAUAUGGUUAUGCUGCUCCUGAAUAUGUUACCACAGGUAAUCUUAAAUUCUUAAUCGUUUAAGCUUAAGGGCC